rnacentral:rRNA from 1 species
UACGUAGGGUGCAAGCGUUAAUCGGAAUUACUGGGCGUAAAGCGUGCGCAGGCGGUUUCGUAAGUCAGAUGUGAAAUCCCCGGGCUCAACCUGGGAAUUGCAUUUGAGACUGCACGGCUAGAGUGUGUCAGAGGGGGGUAGAAUUCCACGUGUAGCAGUGAAAUGCGUAGAUAUGUGGAGGAAUACCGAUGGCGAAGGCAGCCCCCUGGGAUAACACUGACGCUCAUGCACGAAAGCGUGGGGAGCAAACAGG